GGGGUGGUGGCCUAGUCCGGUAUGGCGACGGGCUCCAGAUCUAAGUGCACUUUGCACCUGAAAUGGACGGGGUCAAUAAAAGACCGUCGUCAUGAAGACACUCGUCGAUCGGGAGUUCAAAUCUCCCUCACCCCA
rfam:Thorarchaeota archaeon SMTZ-45 WORSMTZ_16867, whole genome shotgun sequence.